UACGUAGGUGGCAAGCGUUGUCCGGAUUUACUGGGCGUAAAGAGCGCGCAGGCGGUCGUUCAAGUCGCGUGUGAAAGCCCCCGGCUCAACUGGGGAGGGUCACGCGAUACUGAUCGACUCGAAGGCAGGAGAGGGUAGUGGAAUUCCCGGUGUAGUGGUGAAAUGCGUAGAUAUCGGGAGGAACACCAGUGGCGAAGGCGACUACCUGGCCUGUUCUUGACGCUGAGGCGCGAAAGCUAGGGGAGCAACGGGGAUUAAG
rnacentral:rRNA from 1 species